UACAGAGGUCCCAAGCGUUGUUCGGAUUCACUGGGCGUAAAGGGUGCGUAGGUGGUCGGGUAAGUCUGAUGUGAAAUCUCACAGCUUAACUGUGAAACUGCAUUGGAUACUAUCCGGCUCGAGGAAUGGAGGGGAGACUGGAAUACUUGGUGUAGCAGUGAAAUGCGUAGAUAUCGAGAGGAACACCAGUGGCGAAGGCGAGUCCCUGGACACUUCCUGACACUGAGGCACGAAAGCUAGGGGAGCAAACAGG
rnacentral:rRNA from 1 species